AAUUGGAGGGCAAGUCUGGUGCCAGCAGCCGCGGUAAUUCCAGCUCCAAUAGCGUAUAUUAAAGUUGUUGCAGUUAAAAAGCUCGUAGUUGAAUUUCGGGACCAAUUUGUUGGUCGUGCCUCGGUACGUACUGGUAUUAUUGGUUUCUCCCUUCUGAAGAACCUCGAUGUCAUUAAUUUGGUGUUGCGGGGAGACUGGACUGUUACUUUGAAAAAAUUAGAGUGUUUAAAGCAGGCUAACGCUUGAAUACAUUAGCAUGGAAUAAUGAAAUAGGACGUUCGAUUCUAUUUUGUUGGUUUCUAGGAUCGACGUAAUGAUUAAUAGGGAUAGUUGGGGGCAUUAGUAUUCAAUUGUCAGAGGUGAAAUUCUUGGAUUUAUUGAAGACUAACUACUGCGAAAGCAUUUGCCAAGGAUGUUUUCAUUAAUCAAGAACGAAAGUUAGGGGAUCGAAGACGAUCAGAUGCCGUCGUAGUCUUAACCAUAAACUAUGCCGACUAGGGAUCGGAUGAUGUUAAUUUUUUAAUGACUCAUUCGGCGCCUUACGGGAAACCAAAGUGU
rnacentral:rRNA from 1 species